GAUGAAGAACGCAGUGAAAUGCGAUAAGUAAUGUGAAUUGCAGAAUUCAGUGAAUCAUCGAAUCUUUGAACGCACAUUGCGCCCCCUGGUAUUCCGGGGGGCAUGCCUGUUUGAGCGUCAUUUCACCACUCAAGCCUCGCUUGGUAUUGGGCAACGCGGUCCGCCGCGUGCCUCAAAUCGACCGGCUGGGUCUUCUGUCCCCUAAGCGUUGUGGAAACUUUCGCUAAAGGGUGUUCGGGAGGCUACGCCGUAAAACAACCCCAUUUCUAAGGUUGACCUCGGAUCAGGUAGGGAUACCCGCUGAACUUAAGCAUAUCAAUAAGCGGAGGA
rnacentral:misc_RNA from 1 species